GCAUUCAUAUACAUGUAACAUUAUUUAUAUGGCACAGACAGAUAACAACACAUCUUUUUAAUUUAGUAGUUAUUUGACUUAAUAGUGGCAACAUAUCAUAAAUGAAUCCACAGAUCUAUUUGAAUGUUAUUUAGUUCUACAUUGCAUACACAGGACAUUCUUCCCCUUUUGUCUACAGGGAGUUUGCUUGCUUGCUUGCAAACAGUUCUCACAAAUCGAUACUUAUUUUCAUUUCAAUAAGAUUCUCAUCUUGUCCACAGUAGUAACACAGUUUCAUACCCUGCUAAAAAAUAAGAAAGUUCCAUAUGCAUUUCACAGGAAAGAUUUUUUUCUCGCAUAAACUGACCUCAAAAUAUGAUUUUCAUCUGUUUCAACAUCACUAAAGUCUGAUCCAUAAGAAUAAGACAAUUCUGACAGAACAUUUUGUAAUUCUUUUCUCUUUAUACUAUCGCAUGUCAAACAUUGCAAUAUUUUAUCUUUCACAUUUGUAUUGCAUAAUUUUCCAUUUCUAUUCUAUAUUUAUGUUUCCCAAACAAAGUUUGGGAACAUAUUGUUUUUACUCUGUUUCUUAUUAAGGUCUUCCGUUUCACACAGAAGACCUUAUAGUGAUUGUACUGUUUAUUAAGGUCUUCCGUUCCAGACAGAAGACCUUAUAUUGAUUCUACUGUUUAUUAAGGUCUUCCGUUACCAACGGAAGACCUUCUAGUGAUUGUACUGUUUUUUGGGUUUUUUUCUCUCGAUUUCUCAGAGAUGGCUGGAUGGAUUUUCUUGAAAUUUUCAGGGAUAAUAGAGAAUGAAAAUACUUCGGAAAGUUUUUUCAUUUUUUUCAAAAUUCACUUCCAGUCGGCAAAUAUGGUUUAUUAGCUGUUUUCGUUGUCCAGCGUUUUUCUCCGAAACGGUAAAAGAUAGAGUCACCAAAUUUUCAGAGUUGAUAGAUCUCACUUUGUAGGCGUCCAGUUGGGAGUUCAGAAUGUUGGCCGUCACUUCCAGUCGUCACCGGAAGUGAUAAAAUGAAUCGAAAAAUUAAAGUUGUAGUUGUUGAAUCGAAACCUAUACCACUUUAUCAGGUCUCUUUUGGAGUAUUGAAAAUCGUUGACCCCACCGGAAGUCGAAACGUCCACUUCCGGUAAUUAAGGAAAAACUUUUCAAAUUCUCCUUUUUCAAUGCCUUAAAUCUCGUUUACUAAACAAGUGUUUGACUUGUAUUUAACAUAUAUUGUAGACACUAUAAAUGUAUGGAGUUACGUCAAAUAUUUUUUGAAAAUUCACUUCCGGUCGUGAGAUAGGGGGUGGACAAAGUCAAACUUUGUUUUUUCAGUUUCUCAAUAACGAAUAUAUAUAGACGCUUGAAACUUGUAAGGUUGAUCAAUUAGCAUUAGUCCAUUGUAAACAAAUUUUCAAUUUUUUCAUCCGUCACUUCCGCUCUAUACCGGAAGUAUUUGAAAAAAAUGACAAUUUUCCGAUUUCUUCGAGUGAUUUCUCAGGGAUGGCUGGAUAGAUUUUCUUGAAAUUUUCAGGAAUAAUGUCUUAUGAAAUGACUUUGCUGUGGUUAUUUUUGUUUUUCCAAAAAUCACUUCCGGUAGGAAAAUAUGGCCGAUUUUCUGUUUCUCAAACGAGAUUUUGUCCAGCAGUUUUCUUGGAAAGGGUAAAAGAGAGGUUCAUCAAAUAUUCAGGGAUGAUCAAUCUCUGUUUGUAAGCAUGCAAUAGGGUGUUGACCAUGUCGACCGUCACUUCCUGUCGUCACCGGAUGUGAUUGAAAUAAUCGUAAAUAUCAAACUUUUUCCUUUAAAUUGAAACCUAUACUACUUUAUUAAGUCUCUUUCAAAAUGUCAAAAGAAUAUUGACCCCGUCGGUAGUCAAAACGACUACUUCCAGUUUCUUGAUAAAAUACUAUUUUACUUUUCGUCUCUUCGUCCCCAUAAAUCUCGCUUAUAUUUGAAGUGUUUGAUAUGAUUUUCACAUGUCUUAAGAAUAGUAUCAACUUCUAGAGUUUUGACAAUUUUGUUUUUCAAAAUUGACUUCCGGUCGGUAGUUACCUACUACUUUUUCUUUCUUUAGUCUACUUCAUUUUGUUGAGAACUCUUUCAGAUAGAGACGUGAAAUUUUCAGGGAAUAUAGACAGUAAAGAGUCGCUGUCGUUUAUAGGAAAACACAUCUGAAUAGUAUUUCCGGUCGUCACCGGAAGUUACAAGAAAUGAGUAAACAAAUUCGAUAAUACACUUUUCAUUUAUUGUUAAAGUACAUUCUCUGAUAUAUUUAAACGGUUUUCGUAGGAUCAGAAAACUCUUUACUGGAAGUGAACAAACGGAAGACCUACUCAUUACUAGUAAUGAGUGUCUAGUUAACCCAUUUUGCACGGGAUACGACUCUAGUCGUAGUCUGCCAUUUCGUACGGGAAACGACUCCAGUGGUAGUAUACAAACACUGUUAUUCAGACGCUUAAAACAAUGUUAUAUGAAAAGUUAGAAAGAAAACGUUUGUAGGAAUCAGAUCUUGGGAAAUUUCCACUGCUCAUGCGUAUUAAAAAGUGAAACUCGAUACUUGUUUAUGGUGGGAAAUUAGAGAAGAAACAAAGAAAACGAUGUAUCAGUUAACAAAACGAAAUCAAAAUGGCGGCGAGGGAUGUAGACUUGAGCGAAGGCAGCGAUAUUGAUUCAAAUUAUGAUGAAACAAAUGAUGCAUUUGAUGGGAUUGCAGCAAAUUUUGACAGAAUAGAUCAUGAAGUUCAUUUAGAAGACAUUGAUGACUGGGUUUUGGACAUUUUUACGGAAGAUUCGGGAGAUGAAGAAGAAUUCACCGGCUUUCAAAAUCGAUGGGUGACGGAGAGUUCCCAGCCCCGUCUACCACCUCAUUGGAAUUUAUUUACUAAUUUGUGAAAAGUUUUGUUUUUUUUUUAUUUUAUGUCUGUGUUAAAUUCAUGUACUUUAUCAUGUUUAUUUGAUGGAUUUUGGACAUAUUACUUUGGAUUAUACAAAAAACUUUCAGGUAUUGUGAAGCAUGAAAAACUCUGUUUUCAAGGAAACUACCAACUGACAUUCAAAUUGCCAUAACUUCAAAUUUUCUUGAUGGAUUUUUAUUGUGUAAAGUGCAUCUGAAAGAAAAAAAGUAAAUCAUGAAAUAUAUGUAAAAAUAUUGUACUGUUUACCUUGACUUUUAUUGAGAAAAAUGCAAAUUAAUAAAUGAGAUGGAAAAUUUUAAGAAUUGUUUUUAAGUUUUCAUCAGGUUUAACCCUUCUUAAAGAUAACUAAAUGAGCAUAUACAUAUACAAAAUUUACAUUGUUGGACAGUAAAAAGUAUAAGCUUUCUGAUUAUAUAUACAGUAUAAUUUGUCCAAACCGGCCUCUGAGUACUCCGGCGCUCUGUCAAUUCCGGCCACAAAAUAUAGUCCCUAACAUUUCUUUAACAAAUCUUUUAUUAAUAAUUCCCUGUACUCCGGAUACUGCGUAUUCUGUAUAUCAGCCGGCUUACACAGUCCCAACUGCUAUUAAUUAACUUUAAUUAUCCUGUGUAAACCGGCCCCUCGAUGAUACACCACCCUAAUUGUUGCGGUCAAUUGUAUUCAGUGUACACAAGGUCACAACUGCUCAUAAUUAGCUCUAAUUAUCGCAUUUAAACCAGCCACCCCACGAUGACCAACCUGUUGGUAUUCGGUCGAUCACACGCGGUGUACACAAACGGUGUCUCAAGGGAAGCCACAGGUAAGUAAAAGAGUGUAACUGGCGAUGAGUCGCGAUCAGUUUAAAAUAAAACCUGAUUUUUAGGGGGUGCACUUUUCAAUUAUGACAGCACCACGCACGAGGUAAUGGCGCCCUCCCCCUAACGACAGAGACGAGAACUAACAUUAAAAGACAAAGUUCAAUUAAUCGAUGAAUCCGAUACAUUCUUGAAAUGAAACAAAAUCGGCAACAAUCCCGAUAUGUUUUCCAAAAGCAGGGUUUCCCCUCGUGGACUUCUCGGAGCUUUACGGCUAGUCAGACAGUGAUGAUAUGCAGUUAGUUAGCACAACUCGCCAUGUCCGGUCGAUCUUUCGGCAUUACAUUAGUUUCCGUUUCACAAAUUGAGACAGUUGAAAGCAAUACAUUUACAAUGAAAGAUGGGAAAGACAAAUUUUAAACGAACACAACACAAACUUGACGAACGUACAUAAUGUAGCACUUUCAAGAUAACGGCGAUGAUGUAGACGAAAUCGACAAUUUACCAACAGAAAAUUGCGCGAGAUUUUAAACUGUUUAAUAAAAAUUGAAACUUUUUCAAAUGAGCACAACAAUAAAACACUGACAUUUAUAUUUUUACAUUUUGAAUUCUUUUGGGAUAAAUGUAUAUUAAAACGUUAGCAAUCAUUACACACAUAUGCAUAGAUAGUGAAUACAAGGGAAGCAACUCUCAUUCUUGUCAACAUUCUGCACUCCGGACUCUGUGCAAACCGGCCAAUUUCUUUGGAACCACACAUAGCCGGUUUAGACAGAUUAUACUGUACUUUUAUAUGCAUUGGAAUAAAGAUAAGAGAAUCAUUAGCAUAAUUAUCAACAUGCAUCAGACUGCCCAGCUUAUCACAGCAGCAGGAAGCAAGCUCCUCGUUCUGGUGAUAACAGCAUCAGAGUUGGCCUCAGUGAAAAAUGGGUUAAGGUCUUCCGUUACCAACGGAAGACCUUCUAGUGAUUGUACUGUUUAUUAGGGUCUUCCGUCUUCAGCGGAAGAACCUUCUAUUAUUCUAUUGUUUCUUUUUCACUUUUCUUAUUAAGGUCUUCCGUUACCAACGGAAGACCUUCUAGUGAUUGUACUGUUUAUUAUUACUAUGUCUCUGAACACAAAGUAUCGGAGACAUAUUGUUUUUGCUCCGUUUCUUAUUAUUCUUAUCAUGUCUCCAAACACAAAGUGUCGGAGUCGGAGACAUUGUUCUUGCUCCGUUUCUUAUUAAGGUCUUCCGUUCUUCACGGAAGACCUUAUAGUGAUUCUACUGUUUCUUAUUAUUAUUAUUAAGGUAUUCCGUCCUUCACGGAAGACCUUAUAGUGAUUCUACUGUUUCUUAUUAUGUUCCCCAAACAAAGUUUGGGAACAUAUUGUUUUUACUCUGUUUCUUAUUAUUAUGUUCCCCAAACAAAGUUUGGGAACAUAUUGUUUUUACUCUGUUUCUUAUUAUUAUGUCUCCGAACACAAAGUGUCGGAGACAUAUUGUUUUUGCUCCGUUUCUUAUUAUUCUUAUUAUGUCUCCGAACACAAAGUGUCGGAGACAUAUUGUUUUUGCUCCGUUUCUUAUUAUGUCUCCGAACACAAAGUGUCGGAGACAUAUUGUUUUUGCUCCGUUUCUUAUUAGGGUCUUCCGCCUUCAGCUGAAGACCCUUCUAUUAUUCUAUUGUUUAUUUUUCACUUUUCUUAUUAUUAGGGCUUUCCACCUUUCUGUGGAAAGUCCUAUUGUUAUUGUUCUGUUUAUUAUUUUCCUGCCGUCAAAAAAAAUGUUCGUCUUAAGACUUAUCGAAAAACUUUAUAGUCCAUCAUAUAGUACUUCUUGAGAAACGAAUACAGUUCACCCAACGUAAUUGAACUUUGACCCCUUACGGAGUUAUUGGACCUUUCGCAGAAAUCAUUGUUAUCGCUUCUACUUUUUAACCGUAAAUGAUAGGAAGAUGAAACCUUUUCUAAAGAAUAGAGGGUAAUUAGUAGAAGCAAAGAAUUUCAAAUGAAGGGAUUCAGUGUCCCCUAUAGGGAGUUAAUGCCUCUUUAUGUUUUGUGAUUUAUUCGUAAAACAUGUCGAACUUCAGAACGGUUUGUCGUAGAGACAUGGGACCAACUGGAAUAGGAUACUUGACCGUUGACCUUGAACAUGAGGUCAAGGUCAACGGUCAAGGUCAUCAAAAAAGAGGAAAAAAUAGCACUUUUUAUACUCUCUUUCCUGCUUAAGAUAGCAUUGAAAUUUUAUAUGCAUAAGUAUUGACUUCUGGAUUGGUUUUGAUAGUAUGCAUUAUAACUUUGAACUUUGACCCUUCUGUGAAUUUCGGACACUCGCGUUGAAAACCUUGUUAUCGCUACUCCAACUUAAAGGAAAGUCGUAGAGACAUGAAACCUUCGCUAAUGAAUUCACAGUAAAGCCCUCUUGCAAAGAAAAAAUAAUCAAAGGGAUACGAAACCCCUUAAGCAUAGUUAUUGCCCCUGAAAGUUUCCAAUAUCAUUAUCUAAGCCUAUAACUUUUAUAUUAAUAUAGAUAGAGACAUGGGACCACUUACAUUGAGACCGAUGACCUUUGACCUUCAAAAUGAGGACAAGGUCAAGGUCAUCAUCAAAAUUAUUGUUUUUUUCAUUUUCAAGGUCUUUCAUAGUAUUUUUAGCAUUGAGAAGCUAACCGAAAGGAACCGAAAACCGCUAAACAAAGUUGUUGCCCCUGAACGCCUUGAUCAACUUUUUUAAGCUUAUAGCUUUAAUAUUAAUAUAGAUAGAGACAUGAGAUCAUUUGCAUAAAGACCCUUGACCUUUGACCUUCAAAAUGAACAAUUAGGAUUACUAGUUAUUAUUUUUAUUCUUUUUUUUUUCCUUACCGAUUUUGUGCAGAGGAUUUCUCAGAGAUGGCUGGAUCGAUUUACUUCAAAUUUUUAGGGUAGAUGCAUUGCUAUCUGAAGUUUAUAUCUUUUUUUGGAUUUUUGAAAAUUCACUUCCGGUUGGAAGUUAUCCCCCUUUUAUCGAUUUUCAGAUGACCAUUUUGUCCGGCCAAAAUCUCAAAAACGAUAAAAGCUAGAGUGCUGAAAUUUUCAGUGAUUUUAGAUGACAUGUAGUUGUGCACAUGUGUUUUAAAAAUUUCUGGAAGUGCCUAAUAUGGAAGCUCGGUAGGGGUCGAAAGUGGAGUUUAAAAAAGUGUCCAAUUUGUUUCCACGUUUUGAAUCAUAACUUUUUACUCGUAAAUAUUUUGCUUAGACAUAUAUAACAAAAAUUGUACAGUUUAUUGAGAUCUUUCGUGUCAUAUCAAGAAAUGGGCCCAUAGGCCUCAUGGCUCGCCUGAACCAUUGAAUUUCUGUUACAAUGAUUAACUUUUUUCUCACGAAACUUUUGAUAAGACAUGUAGAAUAAAAGUUGUUCAGUUUUGCAAGAUCUAUCUAAUGAUGUCAAAAAAUAGGCCUCAGGGCGUCAUGGCUCGCCUGAACAGUCGAAUUUGUAUCACAAUUAAUAACAUUAAUAACUUUUUUCUCGAGAAACUUUUGACAAGACAUGUAGAACAAAAGUUGUUCAGUUUCGCAAGCGUUAACUAACGAUGUUAAUAAAUAGGUAUGCAGGUCUCAUGGCUCACCUGAACAGUUGGAUUAUUGUUGCAAUCUAUAACAUUUUUGUCAAGAAACUUUUAAUAAGACAUCUAGAACAAAAGUUGUUCAGUUUUGCAAGAUCUUUCGAACAACAUCAUCAAAAAGGCGAACGGGCCUCAUGGCUCGCCUGAACAGUUUGAUUAGUGUCACAAUCAAUAACUUUUUUCUCGAAAAACUUUUGAUAAGACAUGCAGAACAAAAGUUGUUCAGUUUUGCAAGAUCUUUCAAACGAUAUCAAGAAAAAGGCCCACGGACCUUAUGACUCGCCUUAACAGUCUGAUAAAUGUCGCAAUCAAUAACUUUUUUCUCAAGAAAAUUUUAAUAGGCCAUGUAGAACAAAAUUUGUUCAGUUUUGCGAGAUAUAUCUAGAAUGAUAUUUUUAAAAAAGGCCUCCGGGCGACAUAACUCACCUGAUCAGUCGAAUUUAUAUCGCAGUAAAUAACAUUAUUAACUUUUUUGUCGAAAAAAAAGGCUGACCCCUUUAAUUAGUGGCCGAGAGCGGCAGAGAUUCUUUAAUUUAGAGUACUUAAAUGAUCAAUAUUUGUAAAACAUUACUGAAGCUAAAUUGUACGUCUAGACAAUAUAUUUGUAUCAUUAUUUAUGAACGAAAAUCUCGGUCAAAUUCUUAUCUCAUCACAUCUAAAAUUGGACGGAAGACCCACUCGUUGCUCGCAACGAGAUCGCAUCUAGUUCUUAUCAUUUUAUUUUUAUUUUUCCUCUUCUUUAGUGAGAAAUUUGUCCACGCGAUUAUAUGAACGUGCUUCGACAGAUCCACUUCAAACUUUCUGAGCUGAUAGGGAGUCAUAAGGAGGAGUGCAAUCAACUUUUCAAAUUUUCAAAAUGGCCGCCAUUUAAAGAUGGCGGCCAAAAAACGUCAAAAACUCAAGGUUGUCGGAUUUCAACCAAAUUCUAUUUCUAGGGUAAUUUUGUGACCCCAAGUCCAUUUCCACCACCAAAAAAAAAUUUUAAGCCACCAUUUUCAAAAUGGCCGCCAUAUACCGAAAUAUUUCAAAGUGUAAAAAUCUCUACAGAAUUUGGGUUCUGGGGUCAAUUGAGGGUCCACAUUUAUUUUCUAGCAUCAGUAUUUCCUGCCUAUCUAUUUUCAAAUGUUUCAAGAUGGCCGCCAUUGAAGAAAAUGGCGGUCGAAAAUCAAGUACUUCGGAUUUCAACCAAACUUAGUUCCUAGAGUUUUUUGAGGAUCCUGAGUGCAUAUCUGGUAUCAAAAAGCAUUUCUGACAUGGGGAGGUGUUCGGAGACAUUUGUGUUGGCAUCCCAACACAGUUAUAGCUCAUUAUUAUUAUUUUCUUCUUAUUUUUCCUCUUCUUUAGUGAGAAAUUUGUCCGACCGAUUUUAUGAACAUGCUUCGACUGAUCCACUUCAAACUUUCUGAGCUGAUAGAGGGUGCAAUCAACUUUUCAAAUUUUCAAAAUGGCCGCCGUUUCAAAAUGGCGGCCAAAAAACGUCAAAAAAUCAAGGUUGUCGGAUUUCAACCAAAUUCUAUUUCUAGGGUAUUUUGGUGACGCCGAGUCCAUUUCCACCAUCAAAAAUUUUUUUUGAGCCACCAUUUUCAAAAUGGCCGCCAUAUACUGAAAUAUUUGAAAGUGUUAAAAUCGCCCAUAUGGAAAAAUAAUACAUAAAAGUAUAUUUUUAAUAUAUUAUUAAUACAGUCAUUUUUGUACUUUUUUGAAAUAAUACAAAAAAAAUAUAUUAUUUUUGUAUCACAAAAAAAAUGGGUAACUCAUUUUUAUAUUAAAUUCUGACUUUGAUUUUUUAAAGGGUAUUAUUUUUGUAUCAUUUUGGACUUAGAUUAUUUUCAAUAUAUUAUUUUUGUAUUUUUAGGGACUUAGUUUUUUUUCAAGCAUAUUAUUUUUGUAUCAAAAUUAAACUUAGUCAUUUUCACUGUAUUAAAAUUGUAUUUUUUUAAAAACUUAGUCAUUUUUAAUCCAAAUCUUUGAAUUUAUAUGUAUUAAUUUUGUAUUAUAAUUGGACUUAAAAAAUUUCAGUGAUUUUUCACUGUAUUAUAAUUGUAUUCUUUUUUAACUUAGUCAUUUUUAAUCCAAAUCUUUGAUUUUAUAUGUAUUAAUUUUGUAUUAUAAUUGGACUUAAAAAAAUUUCCCAGUGAUUUUCAUUGUAUAAAAAUUGACUAAUUUUUAAAUUGAAAUAUAAAACUUAUAACUUGUGGAAAACAUGAUGCAAGAUUUAGCUUCUCAACUUCACAGUAAAGAUUUCAAACUUUUAAGUUUAGACAACUUUAUCAGUUGCAUGCAUAAUGAAAUAAUAAGGAAGUAUACUUCUAAAUAACACUGGAGACAUUAUUUAUUGCAUGAUAUUUCCAGGACAGUCUGUAAAAUACAGUAUAGUUUCUUUUGACUUCAUCUAGGUUUCCCAUUCUAAUAAUUGUCAUGCAGUCUAAUUCUACUGAUAACUCUUAAAUAAGCUUUUCAAUAAGAUACAAUGUACCAUUGUACCUUAUUAAUACUAUCUUCUCAUCAAAAUAACACAAUAAAAAUUGUAAUCUCUGAACUCAACAAAUUAUUUCUCCACUUUGUUUGGGUUUACUGCAAGUGGCAGUUGCUAUUGCACACACAGAAAAAUAAAUAAAGUCCUACACAUAAAUGGCUAUCAACUGUCCAGAGCUUGGUCUCAAAGAAAUAAUGUCACUGAAAAAUAUGUUGUGCAGAAUAUGAGCAUUUACACAUGUACUUCACAUUAUCUCCAUUACUUCACUAAAGCAUAGAAUGAUGGACCACAACAGUUCUCAUUACACUAUGAUGAAUGAACAAUGUUUCAAGUUUCACAAAGCACAUCUCGUCUAAAAUCAUGUCCACUAAAAUGAACCACACUACUGUCUCGCCUGAAAGUGGCUCUGCACUCCACAAAUUUUAAGGACAUUUGGUUGAUGAGCAUAGUUCGUUUGAAAAACCAUCACUGAAUCCACAAUAGGCAGAAUAUGGUAAGCACCUAUUACAGAUACUUUAUCAUUUUACACUGUCUUGUUGACUGAUGUUUCUUCUCCAUCUGACAUUCCCUUGAAAAUUUCUUGCUCGCAACUUCCAUAAUUUAAAGUUUGUGUCAUCUUCUGGAGGAAUUGAUUGGCAUAAGACAUGUCAGAUACCUGAAAAUGAAACACAAGAAAUCAACUGAAAUUGAACAUUUUCUCUGCAAUUUUAAUUUUCAAAAAAAAAUAUUUCAUUUUCAAAAAUAAAUGAGGGCAUGAACUUUACUUGUUACUGUUUUAUACCAGCAUGCUUUAUGAAGCGUGUUAGCACUUCAACAAAAGUAUGCUGAUGUGCAGCAUUGUUGUUCAUACAAUUCAUUCUAAAGAUGUCUGACACUUUGAUCUACAGGUUCACAGAGUUAAUUUUGUUUUUUUAAAUUCAACCGCAGGGGCAUAUAUAAAAAUAUAUCUUCAAUGUUCUCUAAUGAAAGAAUUUUUUUUUUAAAACUGUAACACAGGCACCUGAAAUUUUAUCCUUAAGUUACAAAUAAUGCCAUAGAUUGAAAAAACAUAUAUCACACCCCUCCCUAUAAAUGAAUACAUGCAACUUACUGUUAAAAUUUUAGGUGUCUGUGAUUGUAACAUGCUUAUUAUUAUUUUUUGUGGACAUACUCUAUCAACAGUUACUUGGGUUUAUUAAAGGUCAUAAAUUGAAUAUUUCAUGUUAAAGAAUUGAAUUACGUUUACCGUCAUUACUUUCUGCAAUGCUGCAUCCUGGUAUUAUUCAAUCAACAUCAUUGUCGUCUUCAAAGUCAGUCUGCUUCCUUAAACUUCAAAGUUAGAUAGGCUAUGCUAUAUCUCCCGGAUUUUUAGGAUUAUCUGACAAGGAAUAGUCGGCAGUUGGGAAAACCUAUGAUAGAAUUGGUCACAUGAAAACAAAAACAACUAAAAUUUAUGAACUUAAACAACGAUAUAUUAUUUCACAUUGAUCAUCAUCGGGCAACUAUCAGGUGCGAUUUUACCACAAGUCACUUUGAAAAAUAAAUAUCUAUUUCUCAAAUACGCAAUUAUAGGAUUUAUCAAAUAAUAAUAUUAAAGAAAACGAAUAAGAAAAAUGCAUACCGAUUGUGAAAACAACGUGCAAGUUCAUCGGCACGGGCGCGCCAUUACCACUCGACCUCGUGGCUUUUCAAGUUUGGUAGGACUGCUUCUUCCAGUGUUAUACACGUCGCAUACCCCAUAAGAAUACUCUAGGAGCCUUUAACAAGUUGUCCACAAAAUAGAUUGCAUAUUCUCCACGUGUUUCUCCCAUUGUUUUGCUUUCCUUUCCUCACAAUGUUCACAGAUCGACGAUUUCAAAAUAUGGAAGCGGAAGUGACUGUAGAUAGAGUUCGGGUGACUCCGUAAUCAAUUUUAAAUUAUUACAAUCUUAGUAUUUGUUUUAAAAAAACAGCUAUGAAUUAUGAAUUAGUUUCUAAUAGCAGAAAAUUUAAACAAACGAGAUAAUAACAGCAUAUUUACGAAAGAUAAAUACAAGACUAGAAUUUUCGGCCGUCUUCGUACUUUCACGCGAUUGGUCAAAGUUCCAAAAUCUGUAGCUCUCAAAUUUGAUUGGUUGAAUGUGUGACGCUGCCAUUUUCAAAGUGAUUAGACUGUCGCAAUAUUUCGGAGGUUAUUUUGCAUAAAUUGCUAAAUAUUCCGUGGUUGAGUGGAAUGAGGACCGGAGUCCAGAAUCACGGAAUAUAUAAGGAAGGUGACAUCCUGCAAGAACGGCAUGUCCAGACGUUUUGGGCCGGGUGUACGUAAAGUUCUUGUGAUCAUCACAACAUGAUUAUGCAGUGGUCAAGGCUGAUGACAAGUGGUGUGACUUGAAGAUAGCCCUUAGGAACAAAGUUAGUGCACUUUGCAACGCAGAAGAAACGGCAGAAGCAGAGGGAGGAUGAGUCUCAAGACUGAUGUGUUAUGAAGAUCAUGGACAGACUAGAUAUGAAUACCAUAUAAGGUCACAGACAGACUAGAUAUGUAUACCAUAUAAGAUCAUGGGCAGACUAGAUAUGUACAUACCAUAUCAUCAGCUCACUGACAGACUAGAUAUGUAUGUACCAUAUAACAUCAUGGACAGGCUAGAUAUGUAUAAAAUACUGAUUAAACAUCUAGCAAUUUAUUGAAUCUUGUACAAUGAAAAUGACAACAAUUUGUUAUUAUUUAUUAUAUUUAUGAUAAUAUAGCCCAAAGUAUUUAAUAGUCGCUUUUUAAAUCUCUGCAAUAGUAGCCAAUGCGACAUGGGAUAUUAUGUUUACUGUAACAAUGGUUUUAACUUUUAAUAGUAGCUGAAUUAGUAGCCAAUGCAUGUCUUUUUAUGCCCCGAG